rnacentral:lncRNA from 1 species
UAUCAGGUUGCUGUUCCAUCAGAAUAAGGCUGGGUGACACAUCAGCCACUGCCAGCAGCUCUGCUGCUGCAUUUUGCACCAUGAGCCAGUGGAGCAAAGAGACCUGAGCAUGGAGCAGUGCAAGUGUUGCUUACCUGUAUAAUCAGAGAAUCACAGAAUGUCUGGGUUGGAAGAGACCUUCGAGUUCACUGAGCCCCACACCCUGCUGUGGGCUGGGUGCCUCCCCAGCUCAGGCUGCCCACGGCCCAUCCAUCCAUGGCCAUGGACACAUCCAGGGGUGGGCACCCACAGCUCUAGGCAGCAGUGUCAGCACCCUGUUGCCCUUUGAAUAAAGGAAUUCCUCCUCACAUCUCACCUAAAUCUCCCCUCUUCUAGUUUAAAACCACUCCUCUCUGCCCAUAUCUGUACUGACGUAGUGAAGCCUCACACGGUUACAACCUGCUUAAGCACUUUGACUCCUUUUGCCCUCUCCCAUGCUGGCUGCUGUGAUUUCAGAGGCUGCAAAUGCCGUGCUGGUGUGAACUCCUGCUCUCACAGCCUGGGAAGCAGUGUGGCAAUGUCUUUGGCAGCGUGAACAUGAAGAGAAAGCACAGAGCAGACCAGAGGGCAGGCAGAAUGAUGCUAUGUUUAGGACUGAGUGCCAGGCUGAGGAGUUGGAAUGCUUCACUCCAUCACAGGCAUUGAUAGCUGGGACCUCAGUCAUUGAGUUGAUUAAGCUUAAAAUUAAACAUAUCUUAAAAGCUCAAUCGACUGAGACCUAGCUUCUGAACGUCUUCAGCAUGAACCUUCCAGAGGACAUAAAAGGGCUCGAUAAGAUAAGAAAUGAGCUAUCGAGUGCUGCUCUUGAGACAUCAUCCUCAACUCCUUGAAGUCAACAGAAAGCUACUGAGAGUCUUCAGUGGGCUUUGGAUCAGACGUUUGGCGUAUUAACAGUAAGAGUAUUUGUGUUCACCCGGUGAGUCUCUAUGGCAACACCUCACAGGAGCUGUGUGCUCUAAUAGAGUUUUCUUCUCCUUGAUUUUGGUGGCUUGUGCUUCCUGUCUGCCUUAGCCCACCAUAUCUCAAUCUGGGGACCUUGGCAUUGCCAGCAUUUCAAAACCACGGCCAAACGCUGGGCACUGUGCCUGGCUCCUUAUUUUCAUUAGCACCCAGCACACCUUAAUUAGCAGCGUGGCACUCGUGUGGAGCCAAGGUAUAGAAGAACGUGUGUGCAAAUUUAUUUCUAAACACAAAGAUGUAAGAGUGAACGCUAUUGCAGUGAUUUCCAUCCUCUCCUUUUCCUUUUAGCAAGUGGGCGAUGGUUGUGUGUGUGUGUUUUGGAGUUUCAUUUGUCUUCAAGUAAUAUCACAAAGUAAAUGAAAGGGAAAACGGGACUCAAAUACGUAUAUUUUGUAGUUAUGCAGACUAAAAAUGAGAAUUUCGGAGAAAA